rnacentral:rRNA from 1 species
UACAGAGGGUGCGAGCGUUAAUCGGAAUUACUGGGCGUAAAGCGCGCGUAGGCGGCUUUGCAAGUCGGGUGUGAAAUCCCCAGGCUCAACCUGGGAACUGCAUUCGAGACUGCAUUACUAGAGUAUGGGAGAGGGAAGUGGAAUUUCAGGUGUAGCGGUGAAAUGCGUAGAUAUCUGAAGGAACAUCAGUGGCGAAAGCGACUUCCUGGACCAAUACUGACGCUCAUGUGCGAAAGCGUGGGGAGUAAACAGG